CAAAUCACGUCUAUCACACAAUCCAGAAUCACACUUGUAUAUCUCAAGCUCCUUCGGAAGUUUGGAGGCCUCCACCAAUAAUUCUCUAUAAAAUAAAUGUAGCUGGGGCACUCAAAAACGGUGAUUCAAUUCAUAGGGGCAUGUGUGGUUGUUAGAAAUGAGUGUGGUGACUUUAUGGGUAGACCUGGCAAUAUUGUACACGAUCAGUUAAUACGACACGAAUUCGGAUCUGAGUUAUCAUGUUGUGUUGAUAUCUUGUUGACCCAUUAGCCACACAUUAAGUUAACGGGUCGUGUAAAUUCGCGAAUACCCCUUAACUCGUUAAACUCAGUGAAAUUUUUGUAAAUUUAUAUCUUGUUCUUUUCUUUUUUUCUCCUUCUCUUUCUUCUCUUUCUUCUCUUCCUCCCCCAUUCCCGCGAGUCUCCCACUGUCUUUCUCUUAGUGAAACAGGCAGUGUCGUGUGAUUCACGAAUUGUAACGGGUUGUGUUCGUAUUUGACAUUUUUCACUCGUUUUCUUAUCGUGUCGUGUCAACCCAUCAAGAAAAGUAGGUUGACACGAACACGGCACGAACACUGCAAACACGAUACGAAUGCCGGGUCUAUUAUGGGUGCACGCAUUAAGCCAAUCCGAGCCAGUUAUGGGGCCAAGCAAACGGAGCUUAUGGCUACAAUUGAAGGAUUGCGUUUUGCUCUUGACAUGGACGUAUUUGACUUGUGCCAUUCUAGAGAUGGACGCAAAAGAAUGCAUAACUGGUAUUCUUAUGACGGAGUAAUGCAAUGGAACAUAUAGUCUUUUACUUGAAGAAGCAAAAUGCAUAUUAAGUAAAUUUAGAGUAGCUUUAUGUCAAUGGUCCCUAAGGAUCUGCAAUAAGGUGGCACACAUCUUGGCUCAAUUUGCAAUCAGCUUUAAUGAUUUUGUUUCUUGGAUUGAGGAAGCACCUACAUGGUUGCUCUCAUUUCUUACUCUCUUCUCGAGUUUUUGAAUGAAAUCUUGAUUCUAAAAUUAUAAAUAAAGAAUAUAUAUAUUAUUUA